CAGUUUUUAAGAUCUCUCUUUUCUUUGUUGUGUGGGGUGAGGGGCAAAGGAGCAAAAUGGCCAAAGUAUGAGAUGCAGCGUGCUGCCGUGUGUUACCAGGUACAGUGUUUGCUCACCCUGCUGCAUCUACCAUAUAUGUGCUGGAAAAGCCACUCAAAUGAUUUGUAACAAGUUCAGCUGAAUGCGUCUCUGCCAGGGAUCAAGCUAUACCACUCAGUACUGCAGGACAAAUUGAGGCUCUCAAAAAAGCAAAAUGCAGCAGCACUGUUUGAUUACUCUUCUGUAAAAGGACCACUCAAGAGCACAAAACUCUCUCUGCUGCCAUGACACAGUACCAGCGCAACAGGACUAUUUCUUAGGAUUUUUCAAUCACCACUUGAAAUUUCUGUGCUGUAUCUUACUAGCUAAAAGUUAAGAUUAUCCACAUACACUCCUAACUUCUGUUCAUCAUUUCACUUUCAACAUUUAUUUUAAUAUGUAUUUAUAUAUGUUAUAUAUUAAUGCUUAUGUACAACUAUACGUUUAUGUAUAAACAUAUUUUUUUGUUACCAAAUCUAGUAAAAGGCAAAAAUUAUUCUUGUUUCUUUUGUUUCUUAUUUUUGUUUAAGCUCAGUUAGGUUUGCUUCUAGGGAAAUGCCUGGCAUACAUAAAAGGAGGUGGCAGACUCCACAAUGUUCAGGCCAUGUGGGACACAAGCGGUGAGGAAGCAGAGGAGCCCUGGUGCAGUGGGAAGAAUGCAGUUCCUGGGGUAUUACUUUUUGGGCUUGCUAGAUAUUUAAUGUUUCAGACCUUAGAUAUCAAAGUUACUCUUUUUUUUUCUUCCUUCUUCUGAGCAAGCUUAAAAGAAUAUAUUUCAAUUCCAAUCCCCACCCCUUCCAUGGAGAGGAUUGUUUUAGUUCUGUGAAAUGUUAAAAGUUGUAUGUUAUCUGUUGCAUUGCACUUGUAUAUUCUGUUCAUGAGAAAGGUUAUACAGAAUAUAAAUAAGUCUAAUGACAAAAAGACAUUGUAAAACAAAGAAACAUAAAACACCUGGUUUUAAAUUACUUUUGCUUCUCAUUCCUGACGCAAGUAAUGAUGUUCAAAACACAGUACUUUUGCAUAAAUAAUUUCCAUUUCAAUGAAUCAGUGCUUGCUAAGGGGAAAAUAUUUACAUCUUUGCUUGUUCUAUCAGCUUCUCGAUUGCAAAUACUGCCUCAAAACAACAACUUACCAAAAAAUCUUUUGGAAAGCUACAAAAUGUUAAAGAUUUUCUUGGCCUAGAGAGAAAAUCAGAGGGAUGAGACACUCUCAGUUAAUGUGGAAGCACGGCAGCAAUAAAAUGCUGAGUUGACAAAAAUUACUUCCAUUCAGUACAGCAAUCCAAACUGUUUUGGUUCCAAUUAAGCAAAAGAGAAAUGGUAGAAAAUUGGACAAAAAAACAUUGAUAAAAAUACUGAUUAGCUCAACUAAAAAGGCCAGGAUGAAAAGGCUCAACUAUUUAGGAUCAGAGUUGAAUCCUGUAUUUGGAAAUUACAAGAACUGUGGAAUAAAGUAAAAGUUUAUUAUAUUUA